GACGAACGCUGGCGGCGUGCCUAACACAUGCAAGUCGAGCGAGUGGAUUUCCUUCGGGAGAGAAGCUAGCGGCGGACGGGUGAGUAACACGUGGGCAACCUGCCUCAUAGAGGGGAAUAGCCUCCCGAAAGGGAGAUUAAUACCGCGUAAGAUUGUAGCUUCGCAUGAAGGAGCAAUUAAAGGAGCAAUCCGCUAUGAGAUGGGCCCGCGGCGCAUUAGCUAGUUGGUGAGGUAACGGCGCACCAAGGCGACGAUGCGUAGCCGACCUGAGAGGGUGAUCGGCCACAUUGGGACUGAGACACGGCCCAGACUCCUACGGGAGGCAGCAGUGGGGAAUAUUGCACAAUGGGGGAAACCCUGAUGCAGCAACGCCGCGUGAGUGAUGACGGCCUUCGGGUUGUAAAGCUCUGUCUUCAGGGACGAUAAUGACGGUACCUGAGGAGGAAGCCACGGCUAACUACGUGCCAGCAGCCGCCGCGG
rnacentral:rRNA from 1 species